rnacentral:rRNA from 1 species
AUGAAAUUUGGAGGCAGAGGCAGAGGAGUAGAUGAUGCUGCCUAUGGAGAUUGUGCUCAUUGGGCCUCCACUGAUGAAGAUAAUCCAGAAAAGGCAUCUUUUGCCACUAAUGAGAAUGGUCCAGAAUGGGUUCUAGACUCUGGAGCAUCUAAGCAUGUUGCGAGUAAAUCCGGUGUGUUUGAGUCUUACAAUAAGCAUCCUCCUACUCACAAGGGCACUAUACAAACUGCCGAUGGUACAAAGCAGCCUGUCAUAGGGGUUGGCACAGUACAAUGUACUUUGAGCAUCUCCCUAUCCUCAGUUUUACAUGUGCCAGCUUUUCCAGUCAACUUGGUCUCAAUGAGUGCUCUCAUUGAUCAAAUAGACUAUCGUGUUAUUCUUGACAAGUUUGGUUGCUUGAUUGAAGAGCAACAUACGAGGCAGAUGGUUGGGACUGGCACCAGGCGCAGGGGGCUCUGGUAUAUGGACCAGGAGGUGCAGCUGGACUUGGUGUGUGCUGUGACCAUGGAGGACAAGGAGAAGCAUGCGAUGAUUCAUCACUGUAGGAUGGGGGGCAUGUAUCUUUUGAUAGGAUGGGUAGAAUAUUUCCGGAUGUUAUGUGUGGCAUAG